UACGUAGGGCGCAAGCGUUGUCCGGAAUUAUUGGGCGUAAAGAGCUCGUAGGCGGUUUGUCGCGUCUGCUGUGAAAACCUAAGGCUCAACCUUGGGCUUGCAGUGGGUACGGGGCAGACUAGAGUGCGGUAGGGGAGACUGGAAUUCCUGGUGUAGCGGUGAAAUGCGCAGAUAUCAGGAGGAACACCGGUGGCGAAGGCGGGUCUCUGGGCCGUAACUGACGCUGAGGAGCGAAAGCAUGGGGGAGCGAACAGG
rnacentral:rRNA from 1 species